AUUGAACGCUGGCGGCAGGCUUAACAAAUGCAAGUCGAGCGAGCGGCGGACGGGUGAGUAAUGUCUGGGAAACUGCCUGAUGGAGGGGGAUAACUACUGGAAACGGUAGCUAAUACCGCAUACCAUCAGAUGUGCCCAAGUGGGAUUAGGUAGUUGGUGAGGUAAAGGCUCACCAAGCCGACGAUCUCUAGCUGGUCUGAGAGGAUGACCAGCCACACUGGGACUGAGACACGGCCCAGACUCCUACGGGAGGCAGCAGUGGGGAAUAUUGCGCAAUGGGGGCAACCCUGACGCAGCCAUGCCGCGUGAAUGAAGAAGGCCUUCGGGUUGUAAAGUUCUUUCGGUAGCGAGGCGUUAACUACAGAAGAAGCACCGGCUAACUCCGUGCCAGCCGCCGCGGUAAUAC
rnacentral:rRNA from 1 species